GACCUCCUACGCGCAGGUCUGCAAUAUAAACCCACUGAGCAAGUCUCCACGUAUCCGAUAGCGAACGAGAACGAACGAGAGAGCGCGAGCGAGGAAGAAAGAUAGAUAUACACCAGGAGCCAGCGGGAGGCAGAGCUCAGUACCGUCACUGAACGCGAAGAAGAGCGGUACCGAGCGAGAUCACGAGAGAGAGAGAGAGAAAAAGAGAGAAAGGAAGCAAGAGAGAGAGAGAGAUUUCAUCACACGGUAUUUGACGCUGGUAACAUCAACGCUUACCCCGGAGCGUAGAUCGGAAAUCUGAUACACAGACAGGACUAUAAGACAGACAGUGCGGACAGUUAACAGAGAGAAGCAAGCAAGUAUCUGGCAACACGUGUCUAGGUUGCUCGCCAUCAGCGCCGUAGCGCUGCUCAUUUGUUCUCGGGUGGCACACGCGCGCUACCUGCCGACGCGUGACGAUCACAGCUCCACGUCAAGCCUUGAGAACAUACUGCAAGGCUAUAGCAGCGAAGAACGCGGAGACGGCUGAGGCAGGCGAGGCCGUACCGCUAGCAGACGAUGGUUCCGAAGAGAUGGAAGAACAGAAGCGCUUCAACUACAUGUACUUGUGCUUCGACAGGCGAGGAAAAUACCACAUGUGCUACAAGUCCUACAGACGACGGAAGUAAAAUCCCUGGCGCGUGAACACGUGAUCUGGCAGGAAAACUUGCGGCUCUUUGGACGAACGUGAUUGGAGCAGCCGACCACGUGACGUCAUCUCUCAUCUCUCCCACACUCACGCUCUGGCUUGUCAUAGUUGGAACCAAAACGAUUCGACCUAUUUCGUUGUUGUUAUAAGACAGAGGGAAACGAUAAACAUAUGAAAAGAUCACGAAUGACAGAUAUAGGAUAGUGGUAACUUUUGGAGGGGGAAAAAUGCCCGGCGGUCGGUAACAAAUUGUAGUUUUAUAUAACUGUGGCGAGUAAAGGCUUAGUGAGAAAGAAAUCCACUCUUGUUUGUACACCGACAACGCGUCGCACGAGAACACGCGAGAACGUACAAUUUAGAAUGUGUCGCGGAUUAAUCUCUCACUUGCUUCAUAACUGACGAUCUCACUCUCACUUUCAUUCUCACUCACUCCGCAACCCGCGGCAUUGUACACGCAGACGCCGUGGCCGCCAUCUUGGCAACAUGACGUGGGCGGCGUGUGAGCGUCGGUACUACGUAACGUAUAUACGCGCCUGCGGCCGUAGAUGUAUAGUUUUACUUGUUGUACCACUAUUCGGCUUAGAGCACUAGCCUCAUUUUCACUAUAUGCGUUUCAGUCUAUGUAAAAUAAAAACGUGUAGGUUAAUGGCGAGAGUUAAUACUGUGUCCCUCGAAGAGAGAGAGAUGCCAAGAUAAAACAAGUCUGGUGAGGAAAUCCGGCAUGUCGCUCAGCGUAGGCUGCGUUUCCGUCGUUUCGGUCAAUGACAUCAUGCGUAGAAAGGACGAGCGCGCGCCGCCAUCUUGCCUGAGUUAUCGUUGAAUGAAUGUUAUUCCUAUUACAGAAUAUUUGCGACGCUAAUGUUGCAGCUCGACAAAUCCAACCACCUUUAUGUGUUGUCAAUGUAGAUGUGCGGAAUUUUAUUUAGACUGUUCUAUCGUAGAUGCGCUAAUAAUUAAUUGAUUAGCUAUCGAUUAUGCGGUCAGAGAGUGCAACAGCUAUGCCUGUAUCGAAUACGAGACUGCGUGCGCGUGUAUUUAUUGAUAUUCAUAACGUAUUUUCGAGGCGGCGUUUGGCGUGACGGUAGAGUACGGACUUUCAUCUUUUCUUCGUCGAGACUUAUAUGCAAUAGGUUAGUUUUAUUCUCGUCAUCUAUUGUUAUAUUAGCCGUGUGUCUGUGGACAAUCUCACGCUACACUCGAUGAUUGUGAAGCGACGACGGAUGAGACGAAAAUAUACAUUUGUGAAAUUAUGAAAU
rnacentral:lncRNA from 1 species